CCUUAGGCUCCUCUCCUGCUCAACUCCAACUCUGCAAAGUUUGCUUCAACUGCAGCCAGAGCUGUGCAGACGCCUGUGGAGUAGCAGGAUGAACAGAAGUUCCGACCCGGUGGUCACCGUCUCGGCGGCUCGUUCCUCCAUUGGUCAGUGUCCCGGAGGCACCCUACAGGUGCACAGAGAACCCGGCCAACUGCCCGCUUGCAUUCAUGGUGGUUCAUCUCUGACCGUGUGGUGGCAGAGGUUCCUUCAGUGGUGCCCUGUCCACCGUGCCUGUCCACGACCUGGGGACAACUGUCAUCAAAGAAGACCUGCAGAGGGCUAAGGUGCCUCCAGAAGAGGUGUCCGAGGCGGACACGUUUUGACCGCAGGUAACUCUUCAAUAGACCAGGAAAGGUCUGCUUCAUUAGAAACAGAACAUUUAUUGGCUCUCCCACACCCUAUCACCACCACCACCACCACCACCACCACCACGACCACCACCACCACCACCACCACCACACAUUGCUUUGGAGUUCCCUGUGGUAGGAUUCUUUCUGUCCCUCCUCCUUCCUGUAGCUGAGGUCAAAGCUUCCUUAUGAACGUUUUCCCUGAGUGAUUUUAGACCAGUGGUGUGACCGCCUUUGCAUUGUUAGGAACAGGGCCAGCCUGAUGCACAGGAAAGUAUGUAUAAUUCUCCACAUACCCCUAAAAUGUCACACAGUCGAGAAAAGUGUGUGAGCCUGACACUGUGCCAGAGCUGCAAGUGAGGCUGCAGCAGAACCCUUGACCACAUGUCGUGAGAUAGGCUGUCCGUCACUCCUAGGGGACUCUCUGGAGGAAGAAUGCUUCAUCUUACCUCUGAUUCCUGCUGUGUUUGUGGACCAGUGACUACUGUGGUCAGUUCGUGUUGAUAAUCGAUUUGGGACCUGGGUGUGUAGCUCAGGGGUGAAUUGUGCGGUUAGCGUGCAUGUGGUCACGAGUUCACUCUCUUGCCCUGCCCUGUGCUCUCUCAGCUCACAUUUGAAUCAACUGUAGAGAAAAUUGUUAACAUUCAAUACCAACUUCUGCUCUUCCUCUGUCCCAGACCAUUUGUAUGCGUGUCAAUUGGACAUCCUGUAUGUUUUAGAUGGGCGUUUUCCCUGUACAUAUGUCUUGCAUUUACCACUUGCCUGCCUGGUGCUGGGAAAAGCUGGAAGAGGACAUUGGGUUUCCUGGAACUGGAGUUACAGAUGGUUGUUGUUGUGAGCUGCUGUGCGGGUGCUGUAUGUAUAAGUCUGUCUGUGUAUCUGUCUCUGUGUCUGUCUGUGUUGAGCGCCAGGCCAAUCCAAGUCUUCUCCAAGGCUGGGUUGAUAAGAUAGAGAAACCUAGUUUAAUGUCGUUGCCGAGGAGCAGACUUGGCAAGAUCCAGUCUGAGGCUGGGUUCAGGGCCUUGGAGGACUUAAGGCUUCAGUUCCUGGGAGCUUGGUGUUUAUCCCAGAACAGGCAGAAUUAUCAGUCCUAAGGCCUUUUUGUGCUCCAUCUGUGGCACUCUAAGACACCCUGUGUUCCUCUUAUAGAACAUUGAUUGAUUAGCUUCCUGCUGACUUCAUCCCCUUGCCCCAUCUCUCCCCUAAAAGCUGUCUAUAAGGUCCUGUGCUUAUGAAUAAGCUUGCUCAGUAUAGGGUAUUGCUUCUGCAGAACAUCCUGGCCACAGCUUUUCUUCUUCUUUAUCUUCUUAUCUCCUGGCCAUCUGCUUUAGGACACUGUCACAGUGUGUGUGUGUGUGUGUGUGUGUGUGUGUGUGUGUGUGUGUGUGUGUGUGUUUUUGCAUGCAUAUAUGUCUGCAUGUGUUUGUGACUGUGUGUGUGUAUGCAUGUGUGCAUGUGUUUGUGAAUGUUUGUAUGUGUGCAUGUGUUGUGAGUGUGUGUGUGUAUGCAUGUGUGCAUGUGUUUGUGAGUGUUUGUAUGUGUGCAUGUGUUUGUGAGUGUAUGUAUUCAUGUGUUUGUGAGUGUGUGUGCGUGUGUGUGUAGGUUUGGUACACAUGUAGAGGUCAGAGGACAUCUUGCUGGAGUUGUUCUUGUUCUACUGUGGGACCUGGAGAACUCUGGAGUAAAACUUGACAUCAAGUGCUUUAAGCACUGAGCUGACUGGACGGGCAGUGAUGUCCCCUGCAUCUGUGAUACAAAGGCUCACACUAGUCUGAAGUUCUCCAAGUAGGCCGGGCUGAGUGGCUGUCAGGCUCCAGAGGUCUGCCCUUCCCAGCCUUCAGCAGUGUGGUCAUAGGUGCACCACCAUGCUCUGUGCUGUUCUUUUUGUUGCUGCUGCUGUUGUUUUAGUUGGGUUUUGCGAUUAACCUCAGAACAUUUGCCCUUUACCUACUGAGCCAUCUCGUCAGCCCCAUGUCAGCUGUUUUACAUCAUAUUUUCUGUGCAUAGGUGUUGUGUUUGCAUAGAUGUUGCGAUCCCCUGUGUGUCAGUGGAGGUGUCGGGUCCCCUGGGUCUGGAGUUGUGGUCUGUAUUAGGAGCCUCCAUGUGAGUGUGAGGGAACCAAACCUGGGUCCCUAGAAGAGCAGCUAGUGCUGCCUGCCAUCUCUGCAGCUUCCAGAUCCUUCUAAGUCAGAUGCAGUGUGCUGUAUUAACUGCACAUAACAGUGGAACAGUUAGACUUAAAGGACUUUUAGCAUGCAUUCUUUUGGUUUUGAGGCUGAGGCUUGCUCUAUAGCCCAGGCUAGCCUUAAUGUAGACAGCUGCCCUCCCUGAGCUUCUAAAGGAUUAUAGGUAGGUGUGUGUUUGUGUAUGUGUGUGUGUGUGUGUGUGUGUGUGUGUGUGCGUGUGCGUUCCCACAUCUCCCUAGAGAACGUCAGCCACCUUUUGAAUGGAAUCAGUUCUCUGAGGGAACUGUGUGUUGCAGGGCACAUGAAGGAGCCCUCCAUGCUGACAGUGGUCCUGAUGAGGAAACACUGCAGGCUGCCUUAGAGCCACAGGCCACCAUGGAACACCCAGCCUCAUACUUGGCAGUUUCCUACAGGAGGUGUGUCUUUGAGAAGUAUAUUAUGUAUAAAUUUUCUUCAUUUAAAUUAACAUUGUCUGUGCAAGCACACACACGUACGUCCUGGUACCCAUGGAGGCCACAAGAGGGUGUGUGAUACCAUAGAACUGAGUUACAGGUGAGCAUGGGAUCUGAGGUCUGAUCCUCAUGAUAGAGCAUCAAGUGUUGUUAACAGUGAACCAUCUCUCCUGCAACUGAAGCAUAAUUUUGUUAGUAAUGAAUGGUUUGACCUCCCUGUAGGUUGCAAAUGCAGGCUGAUCCCUGGAGGAUGUUGACGUGUUUGAAAUCAAUGUAGCCUUUGCAGCAGUGUCUGCAGCAAUAGCUACAGAACAUAGAUCAAACCCCGAGAAGGUAACCAACCUGAAGCUGUGUUUGCCCAUGAGCUUGCACACUCUGUGUUUAGAGCUGUGAAGUAUAAGAAAUGAGGUCAAUCCCCAUGAUUGCUCACCUUGGCUAGAGAUGAACAAGCACAAGUUAAUUUUCAGUUGGGUUCACAACAAGGAACUGAGUGUGUUAGGUCACAUCAGAAUCAGUGGAACAGUCUAGAAACAGGGAGGCAGCAGAUGUCACACAGGCAUUGCUUCUUCCUAAGGUUUACAGUGAAAGUUGAGUUUGAAAGGAUAGUUUGCUAGCAUCACACUGGGGGGUAGGGUGGGGUGAGACAAAACAGGUAUGAGCCUGUGUUCAGAGGACUGACUUAAGACUUAAAGCUCUUCUUCUCUAUAGGUGAACAUCUAUGGAGGAGUCAUUGCCUUGGGCCAUCCUCUGGGAGCAUCUGGCUGUAGGAUUCUAGUGACCUUGUUACACACCCUGGAGAGAGUGGGCGGGACUAGUGGUGUUGCAGACCUGUGCACUGGGGGUGGGAUGGGGAUGGCAAUGUGUGUUCAGAGAGGAUGAGCCAUCACCCUUACAGUUCUCAUUAAAACACUAAACAGAACGUGAGACCAGAGGACCACAGUGAGGACAGGAACCCAGGUCGACAGCUUGCUGUACUUUAGUGUGAGACUCCCAAGGCUAAGACGUUGCGACAUUGCACUUGACACUGUUAUAAAACAGGGAAAUCCAGUCAGUCAUCAAGGGCUCCGGAGUGAUUGACAGUUUCAUAAUUUCCAUGUUUAUUGUCUUUGCUUCCUGGGUAUAAUUUUCUCUGAUCAUUGAUUUGUUUGUUUGUUUGUUUGUUUGUUUGUUUGUUUGUUUUUGAGUCAGGGUCUCAUCAUAUAGCCUGAAAAUCAUUUUGUAGAUGAGGUUGGCUUUGAACUCCCAGAUCCACCUUUCUGUGCCUCCUGGGUACUCGAAUGAAACGCAUGCGCCAUUAUGCAGGGCCCCCAAAAUGAUCCAUUCAAGGAAUGGGGAUGUGGUUUCUGGUUUGAACUUCAGGCUCUCGCUCAAACACCCCUGCUUGCUUGUUGUCUUGUCGUUUCCCAUUGAUCAAACCAAAACCAAUCCUGUAAUGGAAAUUGGAUUCAGUGGCCUCUUCUAAGCUGAGGUGGUGGGCUAGGUAUUCUAGCUAUUCUACUCAGAAGAUUGGCAGUCCCAACCAGUGUGCCUCUGGUUUGUUGGAAAGUAAGCAGCAAGCGCCUACCGUUCAUUUGUUUCUCUGCUUGACCAGAGGGAUGGUACUUGCUUCAAACGUCUACCUUGACUUCCCCAAAAUGAUGAACUGUGACUGGAAUUGAAAGCCAAAUAAACUCUCUCCUCCCUUGCAUUGCUUCUCAGCACUGAGUUUGAUCAUGAAAACAGAAACAAAGCCAGAGCUUAGGAUGUGGUAAGGACAGCCAGCUUCAACAGAAAAGCCUUAGUGUGCAGCAUGUUACUAAGAGGUCCCUUUGGGAUCAUUUCUGAUAAGCCGUAUGUUACUCAGAGGAACCUGCAAGGGGGUAUCACAUGUACUGUGGAAAUCAUAAGCAAACUAUAAUAGAGAUUGCAGAAGUCGGUUAUUGAAGCCAUGUGUCACAUCUGCAUGACUGGUCGGGUGAUGGCCAAAUACACAACAGCAAUCCCCUAAGAGUAUCACGGAGUAAAAGUUCCUUCCCAAUAAUGUCUGAGCAACUGGAGUCAGAGCAGGGUCAUCCAUAACAGGACAAUAGCCAACACAGUGUGCACUAACCUGCAUAGCCAGAUGUGUCACGGCAUAGCCCGUAGUUAAUGAAAAGAAGUCUUGUCAGUCCCUGAGGGGCCAGGGCUACACAUCAUGAACAUUUUGUGCCUCUACCUCAGGAACAUGCAAUAUGGUUGCACAAAUAUUUACCAGAAAUAAGCCAAGAUUGGGAUAAGUGCAUAUGUGUUGCCAUGUUUGUAUAUGCACAUUGGAGACAGGAGAGCAUGGAACCCCCUGGAACAGACUUGUGAGCCACCAUGUGGGUGCUAGGACUGAACCCAGGUCCUCUACAAGAACAACUAGUGUCGGUGCCUGAGCCCCCAGUGUGUGAAUAUCGGGCGUAGUUCUGCGGGUUGAAUGAAAACAAGUACUCGGGUCACCCAUUGUCAGAGAGUGCCACCAACACUUUACUGAGAUCUCCUUAUAUACCAGAGGGAAAAGUCAUGGAAAACAACAAGGCAGGUGAAAAUCCCUAACCAGGAAAACAGGAUAAGUCUGUGUGGUGGAAAGUCCCAGGCCCAAUCAGGGGCAUGAACAACUUCUUAGACAACAAGCUGGAAGACUCGGUGGGGAGGAAGGGGGCCAUGGAAAUCCCAGCCCCAAAUCAGGAGCUAAGAGCAGCUCCCAAGGCUGUGAACAACUUCUUGCUAUAGCAGGCUAAAAGGCUCAGCGAGGGGGGAGGGAAACACCACGGUAGGGCCUAAGAAACUAGUACUCAGCUACUGAGCGAUCUCUCUAGCCCCGUUUUUAUUUAAAUGGUGGGGUGGGAUCCAUGUGAAUAAGGUGCCUGAGAUAGCUAGGUUAAUGGCUGCUCCUGGAGCCAGUGAUUACAGGUGUUUGUAAGCCAGUGCUGGGUGGGGGGAAUUGAACCCAGGGCCUUGUGCUUGCUAGGCAAGCGCUCUACCACUAAGCUAAAUCCCCGACCCCCUUGGAAGUUUAAAUAGAGAGGAUUAGACUGCUCACUAUGAGGUUGAAUAAAAGGAUUUCAGAGUUGUCAGCAUGAUGGGUGGUUACUGAAGGGAUGGGGUGGAAUGAUGUUUUCCUGGGAGCUGCUGCAGAAUUGGGUAAGGGACAGAGUAAGCCCACAAGGGGGACUGAGGAGUGGCCAGAGAGAGGAAGUGGAAAGGCAGGAAGCUGCAGAAGCAAAGCAGAAUGGCUGUCCUUUCAGAACCCUGGAGUCCUACAGCCUGCCUGUGAGGGAGGGAGUGGGGUGUGGGGAGAAUAGCCAGAGGGAGUCUGCAAAAGGAAGAUGUAAAUGAACAUUACAAGACAAAUGAGACCAAAGAUGUUUCCUCUUUAAUUAGAAAAGACCUCACCUGGCAAAAAGCCCUUCUUGGUCAGCGUUUUUUCUAAGAUAUAGUAUGUGCCCAAGGUUUCAUCUGCUUUCUAAAGUUACACUUCCACUUUGCCUGGAGUUAGGAAAUUAUGUAAUGACUGUGUAAGGCUAAAGCCUGUCAUGGUGGUGCCCAGCUUUAAUCCCAGCAUUCAAGGAAUAGAAGCAAGUGGAUCUCUUAAAUUCCAGGCCAACCUGACCUACAUAGUGACUUAUAUAUAGGUCAGCUAUGGGUUACAUUAUGAAGUCAUGGUUGACAGGGAGAGAGAGAGAGAGAGAGAGAGA